UGAAAGUGUUAGCUAAUUUUAACUUUUACUUUCCAAUCUACGUAAUUUUAAAAAUAUGUAUUAUGGGUUCUUGUAUAUCUAUUUAUCUUUUGAACAAAGUGUAAACAACCUUUGUAGAGUCUUGAAAAAAACGCAAGUAUAUGUAUUGUAUAUUGUCAUUUGAGGGACACCAAUUAUACAAACCAAAAUAUGUAAGAAUUGAUUUCAAAGCCACAGCCUUUUACUUCCUUAAGUAUGUACGUGUUUCAUGAAAAUGAAAAUUAUCGGCGAUAUUUAAAUGGACCCAACCGAAUUCUUUUAAAAAAUGAAGUUGAAGGAAAAUUGGCAGUUCAAUGCUAUGACAAAAUUGUGAGAUCGGCGGUAAAUUUGGCAUUUUAGCGACUUUAGAUGAAUGUCGAGAAAGUAAAUAAAUAUAUCCAUUAAGACAAUAUGGAAUGUAUGUAUCGACUAAUAGAAAAAUUUAAUAAGAAAUGGGGUGGAAGAAAUCUAGAAUAUGGAUUUAUUCAGAAAUUAUCAGUCUUUCCAUUUCAAACACUUUGAAAUUUAAAACCAGGCUCAGUGUUCUUGUUAUGAUUAAUUAUUUUUAUAUGGUUAAAACAGCACGUUUGGACCCAUUUCCAAUAGCAAAAUUCAUAAUCACCAGUCACAACGUACCUACAAUUACCGAUUUCUUUUACAACGUAAUAUAUCAACAACUAGCACCAAAAAGAAAGCUCAUAAUAAAAUAAAAUCGAAUCGGAUUAAAGUUUUGCGAUCCUCAAUGCGGUUCGUGAGGCAUUACUUGAAUGAAAUUUAACUUAUUAUAUGAAUCCCGUUUAUUUAAUUG